AGAAUCUAAUCUUUUUGUCUUGAUUAUGAAACAUCUCAGCUCUUCCUUUAUCACACCCUUUCCUAAGCCCCAUUACAACCUUUGUAAAGUCCCUUUGAUUUUUGCAUCUAAUUCAUGUGUAGUGGUGGAGACUUGAUUCAUUAGCAAGCUUAUGGUAAUAACAUGCUUUGUUUUGAUUCCGAGAGUAAAUGCACCCUAAACACUUUGAGAGUAUUGAGUGAAACCAUGUAAGGGUGUUAAGUCUCGUUGCUUUGAUUUUGAUGAAUUAUUGAGAUACUUUUUCUUUUUACAAAAUUUAUCCUAUGAAUGCUAAUCUCUUGAUUGUCAUUAUUAUUCAGCUCAUUAAUGUAUGUUUAAUUUAUUUGGUAUUUGAGGAGAUUGAAAGAGAUGAAAGGAAGGUUAAAAGGAGAAUUGGUAUGUUGAAUUGAGGUAUGCUUGAGGACAAGCAUAAAUUAAGUGUGGGGGAAUUUGAUAAGUCACAAAUAGUUAUAUUUAUCGUGUCGAAUUUCCUUGCAAUUUGGUUGAAUAAUGUACUUAAUUAUGGAAAUUAUAUUUAUUCUGACUUAGGUGAUGCAAUAUCAAGGAUGGAGCAAAAUCCA
rnacentral:lncRNA from 1 species